AACUGUAUGGUCUUGGGCAAAACUGUACCGAAAUGGCAUUCUUCUUCCUCUACGUUGGUUGCCAUUACCCCACUGUCCAUCCACGCUCUGCAAGCACUUCACGAACCCGUGCCGCCACAUCAAUGGCAUCGUUCAGGGGAGGGUAGCUCCACGAACUUACAUCUUCUAGUCCAGUGAAAGGGCGGACAGCACCUCUUUCAUGCAGCCUGUUGUGAAAAUCCGAGAAUUUCCACCUGCAGUGCUCAGUUCCAACAACAUAAACAGCUCACCCAGUGCUACAUGCCUCACUUAGCAUACUAAUUGAGUCUGCUGUUAUGACAAAAGCAUCAGCCCAUGCAAGAUGCCCAAGGUGUGGGUUGGGUCCUGCAUCAAGAAAACUGGCUGAGAAAACUUUCGUAGAGCACAUAAAGAUGAGUACAUCAGACAUGUCCUACCUUAUGUGGUGUUCUUCUGGAAAAUGAAACCCUGACACUUCCACAGGUCUUCAGAACAUUGUGUAGUGAGCUUAUCAACUUCUUGGCAAGGCCUACAUCAGGGAUGGAUUUACUUGUUGGUCCUCCAAUGUUCACUACAACCAAUGGCUUUGGUGAGUUAGCAAGUUCAUCAUGCCAAUCAGAAGCAGCAGUGCGUAAUGCAGCAGAAUCUGCUUGGUGAAGUGCGCCAACAGUAAGGACCUGGCUUUCCAAUUUUCAGGGUGGUUCUCGUGCAGUAAUCCAUCUCCAGAGAAGGUGAGGGAAUUCCCGUUGUCCUCUUGUAGUCAAAGCAUAGUAAUCAUGACGAGGAGUUACCACCAAAUCAAACCUAUCAAGGCGAUACCUGGGAUAAUUCUACCUGUAUGACAAAGACAUUAUCUGGAGCCAAACACCUUAUUGAACUUGCAUAUGAUAUGGUAUCUCGUCCACAAGCGACAACUACGAUGGGAUCUUACUUCUCAAAGGUAUCAUUGACCAUGGUAACUAUCCUUUUGGUAUCUGCUUCUAGGACAGAAGAUAAUCCAAGGGACUGGCCAUUACAGACAGUAUAUUGAGCCAUUUUUGCCCCUUGAAAUAGUGUUGCAAAUUUGUUACUAGAAAACAUCUGUCUGAGUACUUGGUCCACUAACUUAUGCAAGGAGAUCGGGAGGAAGUGCAGCCACUUGUUGAUUCCUCCUGGGAGGCAGGGUUUACGUAAAGCGUGAGGCGGUCGGCGAGGCCGAGGGCGCGGAGGAGGCCGAGGCACUGGUUCUCGGCGCCCGCGCAGCCGUUCCCGAUGACGACGGCGCGCCGCACGGAGCCGCGGGCCCCUGUGCCGCCCGCGAAGAUCUCCGGCGCGCCCGCCGGCCCGCCCCCGCCCCCGCCCAGCGGCUCCAUCGGCCGCGUCG
rnacentral:sRNA from 1 species